rnacentral:rRNA from 1 species
UACGGGGGGGGGCAAGCGUUGUUCGGAAUUACUGGGCGUAAAGGGCUCGUAGGCGGUUUGUCGCGUCUGCUGUGAAAACUGGAGGCUCAACCCUCCAGCCUGCAGUGGGUACGGGCAAACUAGAGUGCGGUAGGGGAGAUUGGAAUUCCUGGUGUAGCGGUGGAAUGCGCAGAUAUCUGGAGGAACACCGGUGGGCGAAGGGCGGGCAUCCUGGACCGGUAU